GCCGGAGUGGCGGAAUCGGCAUACGCGCGGGUUUCAAAAACCCGUGGCCGCAAGGCCAUGUGGGUUCGAGUCCCACCUUCGGCA
rnacentral:tRNA from 1 species